rnacentral:rRNA from 1 species
UAAUAUAUCGGAACGUAUCCAAUAAUGGGGGAUAACUAGUCGAAAGAUUAGCUAAUACCGCAUACGCCCUGAGGGGAAAGCUGGGGAUCUUCGGACCUAGCGUUAAUGGAGCGGCCGAUAUCUGAUUAGCUAGUAGGUGAGGUAAGAGCUCACCUAGGCGACGAUCAGUAGCUGGUCUGAGAGGACGACCAGCCACACUGGAACUGAGACACGGUCCAG